UUGAAUUUGAAGCAAUUUUGCGUUUAGUUUCGACCUAACCUCUGACUUUUUUUCGUCCUAAUUCUAA
rnacentral:tRNA from 1 species